UAUGACCACAGCAUGUUGAAACACUGUUUUCCAUAUGAUCACCAAAAUUAAGCAACAUCAAGCUUGGUCAGUACCUAGAUGGGUGACCACUUGGGAAUACAGGUUCUGUAA